rnacentral:rRNA from 1 species
AACGAACGCUGGCGGCAGGCUUAACACAUGCAAGUCGAGCGCCCCGCAAGGGGAGCGGCAGACGGGUGAGUAACGCGUGGGCAUCUACCCAUCUCUACGGAAUAACGCAUGGAAACGUGUGCUAAUACCGUAUACGUCCUUCGGGAGAAAGAUUUAUCGGGGAUGGGUGAGCCCGCGUUGGAUUAGCUAGUUGGUGGGGUAAAGGCCUACCAAGGCGACGAUCCAUAGCUGGUCUGAGAGGAUGAUCAGCCACACUGGGACUGAGACACGGCCCAGACUCCUACGGGAGGCAGCAGUGGGGAAUAUUGGACAAUGGGCGCAAGCCUGAUCCAGCCAUGCCGCGUGAGUGAUGAAGGCCCUAGGGUUGUAAAGCUCUUUCACGGGUGAAGAUAAUGACGGUAACCGGAGAAGAAGCCCCGGCUAACUUCGUGCCAGCCGCCGCAGUAAGAC